CCUUAGUCAUUUCCAAUAUGUAUAUUUGGCUUGGCUAAGACAUUAAAAAAUUAUUAAUAUCCAAAUAAUACUAGCAUCAGCAAACUCUGAAACCAUCCAGUCUAACUCCCUUAUUUUGUAAACUAAUUCUUUAUUCCACACAUGUUUUCUGAGAAUCUGUUAUCAGAUGCACAGUGCUGAGGGUAUGCAAUCUCCAAGCCCUUGAGCAGAUUGCAGUGUAAUGGAAGCAAACAACAGGAAUACAGAUCAUUUAGAGUCCUAGCACUUUGAGAGAUGACUGGUAGGGGGUUUAGUAGAACACAAAGAAAAUAACCAUGUGGUAUAGAUUUGGGGGGUCUAGGAGAAGGUUAUGUCUUUGCUGAGUUCUAGGAAGGACACAAAAGAAGAUAGCAACUCAGAAGGAUUGGCAUUAAGGCCUCAGGGAAAAGGGGCUUGAAUUAAACAUCUAGGAACUGUACUGUCUGAAUUUAACCUCUCCUUCUUCCCAGUCCCACAGAGGAAGAGAGGAUGGUGGCAUUAGACACAUGCAGCCAGAACUCUGGGCCAGGGCUCUAGGAAUCUAGACAGCCACAAGGACCAGAGAGCCUGCCUUCAAUCUGGAUUCAAGCAGAGACCUGGAGAAAAAAGACGUGGAGUCUUAGCAGCACGAAUUUCCUGAUCCAGCCCGUAAAGCUCAGGUUCCUACAGUUCUUCCUCCAGUUUUCUGAGGCACCCCGCGUCUCAUCCAGCUGGAUGCUUGGCUAGCCCAGGGGCACGGCGCUGGUGCCACCUCUGGGCAGGGCCCGGGGAGGUCAGAGCUUCCUUGUUUAGGGGCCAGGUGCUUCCUGGGUAAAGAAACUUCUGUUGGAGGUAAGCACAGUUCUUUGCAAUUCUGUAGAUCAUAGAACUAUAUAAUUCUAUAAACCGAGACUGA
rnacentral:lncRNA from 1 species